GGAGUAUAGUCUAAUCUUGGCUAUGGGAGCAGUUCUAUAUCCAAGAAUAAAGAUUGAGAUGCUUGAAGCUUCUUAUAAAGAAUUGGAUCCUUCUACUGCUAGCUUAAAGACUGAAAAACUCAAGGAAAGUUUUGAGUGAUCUCUAUAAAGAAUAUCAGAAACUGUCUCAAACAAGUUCUUCAGGGUUUUCACUUACACCACAUGAGAUUGUCACAGAAUCUCCCCUUGAAGAUGAUUAUGAUAAUGACUUUUUUGAGCUGGAAAAGAGCAUUGGUGGUGGAGCUGGUGAUCCAAAGACACAUUUAGAUAUCUACUUGGAAGAGCCAAGGCUAAAUAGGAGGGCCAAUAUAAAUUUGGAUGUCUUGACUUAUUGGAGAGACAACCAGCAUCGAUUUGGAGAUUUAGCAUCUAUGGCACGUGAGAUCCUCAGCAUUCCGAUCACCACGGUAGCUUCUGAGUCUGCCUUCAGUGCUGGAUCUCGGGUUUUAACUCCUUACCGAAACCGCCUCUUACCUAAAAAUGUCCAAGCUCUUCUUUGCACUAGGAAUUGGCUGCGUGGUUUUGCUGAAUACCAAGGUACAAUUGAAGACCUCUUUGAUGAAAAUGAAAAUGUUCAAAAAAAAACAAGUAGUUCAGGAGCUGAGU